GGGAGGAGGUGAUCAGAGUGAUGCUCGGUUAGGGUUUCGUCGCCGCCGACGGAUGCAUCCACCGACGGAGCGACGGUGGCCAGAGGGUUCAUCGACGACUUGAACCAUGUCACCUCGUCGUCGAGUAGAAGGAGAUCCAGCGCCUGUGUAUGAUGAAAUUGCUAUGCCUCAAAUGCCUCAAACUUCAAUCUUUGCAUCAAUUUUGGUGGUUAUUUCCUUGGAGUUGGUAAAAACUGUGCAUAUGUGAAUGGAGAAAACGUGUGGUAUGAUUAUGUCGAAGGGGAUACACUUACUGUGGUGAAGUUAGAAGAUCUGGUUGAACAACUGGGCUAUGAAGUGAAGGGAAGAUGCACAUGUAUUACUGUGUGCCUGGUAAACCAAUGACUGAAGGUGGUCUUGUGAAGAUAACUUGCAAUGAUGACUGUCUGAACACGAGGGAACAUGUAACAUUUGGACACAAGUAUUUGCAAAUGUAUCUUGAUCAUGAUGACAACUUCACGCAGUUUGACUGGGAUGAUGUGAUAGAGUUUCCUGUAGCAGACUCGCCUACUGUUGUUAGUCCUAUCAAACCAAUUCAGAUCAGUAAGGAGGGAGCACUAGAGAAGCAUAACUAGGAGAUUCAGAAAGAUUUAUUGGAUAGAAAAAAUUUAAGGAGGAAGCAGUGCAAAAUAUGCAGUGUAAGUUCGUCACUCAUGUGACCAUUGCAGAUGAUGCAGACCAAGCAGAAGAAGAACAAGGAAUAGGUGGAGAUCAAGCUGUAGAUCAAACAGUAGAAGAAGAAAAUGCACAACAAGCAGUAGAAGAAGAAAAUGCACAACAAGCAGGAGAAGAAGCAAUUGCAUAUGUGGAGGAGCGGUGUGAAGAGGAUAGUGAGGGAGAAGUUUCUGAUGCUGAAGUAAUUGGGAGUGAACAAGGAUCAGCCUAUGCUCAUGAUAUUGUAGAUAGUGAUUAUGAUGUGAGUGAUUUAGAUGAUGAUCUUAAAGAGGGCACAGUGGAGGAGCCUGCUGAUGUUCAUAGUAGAGCGAAGCCAGGCCCUGUACAAGGAUCUGAUGAAGAAGAACUUGAGCUACCAGAUUCUGAUGAUGAAGCAGCUGCAAGGUAUAAAUUUACAAGCUUUAGGAAAGAAGAUUUGCAUGAUCCACAAUUCAAAAUUGGACGGGUUUUCUAGUCACCAGAAAUGUUUAGACAAGCAGUGAGAGAAUAUGCUUGCAAAAACAGAAUUGACAUCAAAUUGCCAGUAAAUGACAGGAAAAGAAUUUCAGCAAAAUGUCAGCGUCACGGCCCGUGGAACAUUUGUUAUAGUUACGAUAGCAGAACAAAAUGCAUGGUCAUCAAGAGUUAAAAUGAUGAGCACAAAUGUUCUAAGAAGUGGAAAGUAAAGGCGUUUACUUCUAGAUAUCUUGCAGAAGAGUACUUGGAGUACUUCAGGGCAGAUCAAGGAAUGAACUUGAGAAAUUUUGGGAGGUUAGUGCAAAAGGACUGGAAUAUGAGAGUUUCUUGUAGUAAACUAAGCAGAGCAAGGAGAUAUGCAUUGAAGAUAAUCCACGGAGAUGUUGAGGCACAGUACAACAUGCUUUGGGAUUAUGCAAAUGAAGUUAUAAGAUCCAAACCUAGCAGCACAUUUUUCAUUCAAUUAGACAAUGAAUCAAGGUUCAAGAGAUGCUACUUCGGUUUUGAUGCAUGUAAAAGAGGAUUCCUUGUAGGGUGUAGGCCCAUAAUUUGCUUUGAUGGUUGUCAUUUGAAAACUAAGUAUGGAGGUGUGCUUCUGUCUGCAGUGGGCAUGGACCCUAAUGAUUGUAUCUAUCAUAUUGCACACUAUGUUGUAGGUGUUGAAGAUAAUAACACUUGGAGCUGGUUUCUGAGCACACUGAGCAAGUUCUUGGGAUUCAAAACACCUCAGCAUGGAUUGUCAUGUGUGAUAAGCAAAAUGGCCUAAUAAAUGUUGUAGAGUAGCAUUUUCCUCACUCAAAACACAGAUUCUGUGUCAGGCACCUUUGGUAGAAUUUCAGAGAGAAAUACAGAGGAGAUGUUUUGAAAACAAGCUCUCGAAGAUAACUAGGUGCGCAACAGUUGAUCAGUAUGAAGAAUAUAUGGAAGAAAUGGUUUUGUUCUUUUUUGUCAGUGUUCAGCGGUCAAAUGAAUGUUAUGAAAUCCAAAAUGUGUGUUCAGUCCAGGCCAUGCAAUAACAUCACUUUGCAACAAGAGGGGAAUCGGCUGUAGACGUGGGAAAUGAGAGGAGAAUUGGCUCACAAUAAACCCUUGAUGUAUCAUGUCCAGUUCGUGAGUCAAAGUGUUUUUUGGUCA